rnacentral:rRNA from 1 species
UACGUAGGUGGCAAGCGUUUGUCCGGAAUUAUUGGGCGUAAAGAGCUCGUAGGCGGUUUGUCGCGUCUGCCGUGAAAGUCCGGGGCUCAACUCCGGAUCUGCGGUGGGUACGGGCAGACUAGAGUGAUGUAGGGGAGACUGGAAUUCCUGGUGUAGCGGUGAAAUGCGCAGAUAUCAGGAGGAACACCGAUGGCGAAGGCAGGUCUCUGGGCAUUAACUGACGCUGAGGAGCGAAAGCAUGGGGAGCGAACAGG